AUCGAACGCUGGCGGCAGGCCUAACACAUGCAAGUCGAGCGGCGCGGCGGACGGGUGAGUCAUGUCUGGGAAACUGCCUGAUGGAGGGGGAUAACUACUGGAAACGGUAGCUAAUACCGCAUACUAUCAGAUGAGCCUAGGUCGGAUUAGCUAGUUGGUGGGGUAAAGGCCUACCAAGGCGACGAUCCGUAACUGGUCUGAGAGGAUGAUCAGUAACACUGGAACGGAGACACGGUCCAGACUCCUACGGGAGGCAGCAGUGGGGAAUAGUGGACAAUGGGCGAAAGCCUGAUCCAGCCAUGCCGCGUGUGUGAAGAAGGUCUUCGGAGUGGAGAGCACUUUAAGUUGGGAGGCGUUACGAACAGAAUAAGGGCCGGCUAACUUCGUGCCAGCAGCCGCGGUAAUUC
rnacentral:rRNA from 1 species